UGAAUACGUAUAUGGUUUUGAAUUCUUGUAAUCUCAAUUGUUGAUCUCCUUAGAUCUCGCAGAUUUCUAAUUGACCCGAUCAUCUCAAAUGCCUUUAAUUUAGGAACCUGGUUGUAUUUCCAAAUGAAUUUCAUGAAUCCAUUGAAAAUUAGUUAAAUCGAUCGGCGGUUGUGUGAAGGUCGGAGCUCUCACAGAUACAUACACACUUAAGACGAAAUUGGUUUUGAGCAUAUUCAUGAUUGAGAUUGGAGAACUUCAGGCAGAUAUCUUCUCGCCACCACCAUCAAAUAUCGGACAUGGAAGGCGGCGAAAGGUAAUCAAGUAAGAUGAUUUUCAUGCUCUUCAGUUGCAAUUGCUGAGGGAUGCGAAAAAUCAGAUUAGGUAUUUGAUUGAAUGUUUCAAGCAACCACAUCUUAAAAAAGGUAUCAUUGACAACAUUAUAUCAACCUGGGUAACAGUUGGACCAUUUUGCCCUUGCCAACAACACUUAGACCAAUAUAAUGACCUCUUAAUACAACAUUCAUCCUUUUUCAGGUUAGUAUCAAUCAUAAGAAGAAAAUUGCAAAUUAACCAUAUGAAAAAGAUGAUCAGAACUAUUUAUGUCUAACUGAUUUCUAAAUAAACAUUUUCUUGUAAAUUAUACACUUUUAUUAAAGAAACUUAUUAUGCUUUUUUUAGUGAUAUCUUUUAUUUAGUAGUUUCUAAUAACACAAUGUAAAUAUGAAUAAAUGUGAAAACCUCAUAAGUUACUUUUGCAUUUUUUAGUGAAUAUCUUUAUUGCGUAGAAUUAGUUUUGAAUUCAAAAAAAAAAAAUGCAAAAAAGGGCUUAAUAAUAUCAUUUUAAAUUAACAAAAAAAAAUGACAAAAUACUUAUGUUAAAAAGUUACUAAUAUCAUUUUAAAUUAACAAAUAUACAUUUUUCAAACAAAACACUUAAUUUUGUAUAAAAAAAAUGUUUGUAAAUCUAUGAAUGGUUAUGUUUUUUUAAAGUUUUAAUGUCGUUUUACUUUGUCAACCGUGUAACACACGGGUUAUAACCUAGAGAUGGAAUCAUUCCGGUUUUGUUAACUUUACUCUUUCUGUUUUAUAUUAUCCGCGAAAAGUAUUUCUUCUUUAUUGGAUCUGGAUGUUUGUGAAAUUUGAUUGUGCUUUGAUUCAUUCAAUAACAUGAAUGCUCUAUUUAGAUAAUAUAAUUGACAACUACAACUUUUACUUAUCUCUCAUGGUUAUCUCCUAAAAAACUCAUAUUUUUGCUGUUAGUUAUCCAGUAAGUAUGUUUUCCUGGUCUGUUAUGUCUCUAAGUAAUUUAUUUGCAUGGGAACCGAUUUAAACAAUAUAAUUUGAACAUAAUUAUGUUAAUUGUUGUAACUGUAUAUUUUUGGUUGUUUAUCUUAGUAACAUCUUGAAACU